UUUUCAUGAUAAAUUUUUGAAAUGUAAAAGCUAGAGACUGCAUAGUAUUUCCUUCCUUACCAUGUAUAUUCUUUGUAAUCAUUGGUGUCAUGCCUAACAAAACCUGUAGGAAGCAAACUCCAAUUACACUCAUUAGUAAUGAGUGAAUUAUUAUUAUUAUUAUCAUACUAACUGAGGUUUACACAUAUAUGCAGUUGGUGGUGAUGAUAAGGAUGAUGAUGAGGAUGAACGUUAUAAAUUUUAUGAAUUUUUAUAAGGUAGAUGGUUCAAUCCUAUUAUGGCAUCCCAUUUGUGAUAACAAUUUAGGUCUCUAGAAGAUGACACUCAUGUCUUACUUAUACUUUGACUGGCUACUAAAUAGUGAAGAUUUUCUUAGCUUGAAUUUCAGUUGAGGCUAUUGCUACUAGAUGUGCAUAAGCAUUUCUGUCGAUAUGACUUUUUUUUUAGUUGAAAAUCCUUGUAUGUUGUAUUGAAUUUGUAAAUGGUUUCAGUUAUAAUGAUUUGGAAACGUAUUCAAGUGACA